rnacentral:rRNA from 1 species
UACGUAGGUGGCAAGCGUUAUCCGGAAUUAUUGGGUUUAAAGGGUGCGUAGGUGGUUUCUUAAGUCAGAGGUGAAAGGCUACGGCUCAACCGUAGUAAGCCUUUGAAACUGGGAAACUUGAGUGCAGGAGAGGAGAGUGGAAUUCCUAGUGUAGCGGUGAAAUGCGUAGAUAUUAGGAGGAACACCAGUUGCGAAGGCGGCUCUCUGGACUGUAACUGACACUGAGGCACGAAAGCGUGGGGAGCAAACAGGAUUAGAUACCCCGGUAGUCCCUGAGCGGGCU